CUGACAGCCCUGGAAAUGAGACAGUCCUUUGCAGGAUUUAUAAAAGAACAAGCACGUUGUGGCAGGGCAAGCUUCAUGCUGUUGCUCCCACUUGUGCCUAAUGCCUCAUUCUGGAUGACCACCUCGAAGGGUGACUGGGUAGUUCAGCCUGCAUAGCCUGUUCAGUCCUUCACCUCU
rnacentral:sRNA from 1 species